AUGGGGGAUCGAGGAUCCUUUGAGAGUCAGCACCGCCCCCAUGAGUUCUUGCCUAGCCCGAUCCAUAGUCCUCUCCAAUGGCGCCGCAGACCAUGGAAGAUAUGGAGAGGUGCUCGGUACAACUAUGUGCAUAGUAGUUGUAGGACUUAUGUUUUUUUAUGUAUGGAGUCUGGUGUGAUGUCGUGCAUGAAUUGGCUGUCGGCGCACUCGAGCUGCAGUUGGCGGCUUACAACGGCAAUCCUUGUAGUUGUGGCGGUAGGGUGCUUGAUGCCGCUGGAUGGAUCAAACUUGUCAUUCCCCUCAAUAAGUUAG
rnacentral:rRNA from 1 species